GGCUGGCGGUUAGGGGGAGGGCCGCCGGCGGCAGUGCCGGUCUCCUCCUACAGGGACGCGCAGCCCGGGACCGCCACGCGCAGCGCGGGAGGGGGAGGGCGGGACCGGGGAACAGGAGGGGAGGGGGACCCGGGUGCUUCCAGCGGUCCGGGCCCGCGGACGGAGUGCGGGCCGAUCCCGCUCACUGUCCCCUUCCGCAGUCCGCGUGCAGCUCCAGGGAGCUGUCCGCCCCGGUGGUUCUGAACCAGGCGCCGCCGAAACGCUCCAGGAGCACCCAGGGAGCAAGAGAAGCCCUGCGACAGCAGCAAGGGACACUGUGGGGCUGCAGGAGUGGGAAGUUGACACUGUGGGACCAUGGUCCUUCCUGUUGAAUCUAAGCAGGCCUGUGACUACAGUGGAAGGGAAGCUACCUGACUUCCAAGGCUGACUCAUAACAAGUGGCCAUCAUGGCGUUAAUCUUAUCUCCAAGGAGAAAAAUUGGGAAGAGAGGCCUAGAUUCCUCAACAGAAGCGGGAAGGAAAGGUUUGCAGAAUGAAGAGUGUGAAGUGAGGUUUGUGGUUUGAAUCAUCCGAAUGUCAAGGAGAAAAGAAGAAAAAUGAAUCAUCAUCAUUUGACCACGGUAUUUACAGCUAGCGGAAGGGACAAGAGGAGAAAAAAGCAAGGGAGGAGAUAAAGGAAGAACGUCUCAGAAUAAAAUUGGGGUGGGUGGGGGGAGGAGGAGGAAGACAGUCUAAGAAAUUGGUUUGGUUGCACCAGUACUGGCCACAACACAAAAAUUUGUCCAUUCCUGGUUGAAAUUAAAAAUAAAUGUGCAUGCACAUGUA
rnacentral:lncRNA from 1 species